rnacentral:rRNA from 1 species
UACGUAGGGGGCAAGCGUUGUCCGGAAUCAUUGGGCGUAAAGCGCGUGUAGGCGGCCAGGUAAGUCCGUUCUGAAAGCCCGGGGCUCAACCCCGGGAGGCGGAUGGAUACUGCUUGGCUCGAGUCCGGAAGAGGCGAGUGGAAUUCCUGGUGUAGCGGUGGAAUGCGCAGAUAUCAGGAGGAACACCAAUAGCGAAGGCAGCUCGCUGGGACGGUACUGACACUAAGGGCGCGAAAGCCAGGGGAG